UACAUUCCUAAGAAUUUGUAUCAAACCAAUCUAUUGUACAUUCGGUUUUAUGUUUUAUGUUGGUAAACAAAAAAAAAAACCCUAACCGAAACGGAAUAACCAAUCUAUUUAGUUAGUGAGUGCAAACCGAUUUGGAUAAUUGGUUAGGCACCAAUAAACCGGUUUGGUUCAAGAGUUUCUCUUUAGACUUGUGAAGAUGGGCAGUGAGACAAAAAUUCCUAAGCAGCGUAGUCGUGUCUGACCAUCUCUGAGAAGAGCUUAUCAGCUCCGAUUUCAGGAGUAAAUCAUUCAUGCUUUUAAUUUGACUAUGCAGCAAUGGAAUUUGGAUUAGUGGUGCUUUUUGCAGGUUUGAUGAGACGAGUUUCACUGUGAAUGGUGUUAAAUACCAAGGAAGCUUGCUCUGUGUUGGGAAUUUGCUAAUGUCAUGGAGCCCUCGUUACUUCUCCGCGGAUAUCUCUCUUCUCUUCAGCUUACUUAUCCAGAAUUGGUCGAUAAAACUAAUGAUAGAGAAAUGCAUGCUGCAUCAACUUACAACAUACUGAAUGAGGAAAGCAGGAUUGUGUACGUGGCUGCUGCAUUGCUUCCUUAUGGAGAUACAUCGUAAGAAACUCAACACCUCUGGAAUAUUGUAGAACAACCUUCGAACAACUCGAGUCGAUCUUUAUAGUUAGAACACCAACAUGGUCUUGUCUACUGUAUAUGAAAUGUUUCACACUCUUUAUUUGUGAAACUUUUGCAAAAGAAUCGAAUUUUCCAUGCUA